UACGUAGGGGGCGAGCGUUGUCCGGAAUUAUUGGGCGUAAAGAGCGUGUAGGCUGUUCGGUAAGUCUGCCGUGAAAACCUGAGGCUCAACCUCGGGCGUGCGGUGGAUACUGCCGGGCUAGAGGACGGUAGAGGCGAGUGGAAUUCCCGGUGUAGCGGUGAAAUGCGCAGAUAUCGGGAGGAACACCAGUAGCGAAGGCGGCAUCCUGGACCGGUAUUGACGCUGAGGCGCGAAAGCCAGGGGAGCAAACGGG
rnacentral:rRNA from 1 species